rnacentral:rRNA from 1 species
AUGAGAUGGAUUAUGCCGGGAGUUUUGAUGAGAUCAAUUUUGUCGUUUGAAGGUGAGGCUGCGCUGAUAGUCACAGAGAGCGGCGGCGGUGACGACAAGGAGGUGCUGCUGGAGCUCAAGCGGUUCCUGAUUGCCAACAACAAGGUCAACCACGGCGGCUACGAGGCGUGGCAGGAGUCCGACCCAUCGCCGUGCCUAUGGAGAGGUGUCGGUUGCAACAGGGGCGGCCGCGUCACCUCGCUGAACCUGACAUGCUCGACCAUAUCCGGUCCAACAUUCGGGAACUUCUCACGGCUCUCAGUGCUCAUGUCGCUCGACCUCUCUGACAACUCCAUCAUCGGCGCUCUCCCAGUGAGUGACCUCAACCAAUGUCACGGCCUUGUGCACCUCAACAUCUCCCACAACCUCAUCACCGGGUCGCUGAAUGUGUCUGGACUGACCAAGCUUCGGGUGCUCGACGUGUCGGCUAACAGGCUCGAGGGCGGCAUCGCCUUCAAUUUCCCGGCGAUAUGCGCUAACCUUACCUUACUGCACUUGUCCACCAACAACAUCACAGGUAACAUCACCAACAUGUUAGAGGGUUGCGCCAGGCUGGAGUAUGUCGACCUCAGCUCGAACAACUUCGACGGCGAGCUCUUGCCCGACGUCGCAAGAUUCAGGAAAUUCAGCAUCGUUGAGAACAACAUCACCGGGAGCGUUCCAUGGAGCAUGUUUCCUAAUGGAUGCAAGCUCCGGUCCUUAGACCUCUCUGCCAACCAGCUGGUGGGGAGCUUCCCGGAUUCCAUUGCGAAAUGCACGAAUUUGACGUACUUGUCGCUGUGGGGGAAUAAUUUCGCUGGAAUGGUACCUGCCGGAAUUGGGAAGCUCGCGUCCCUUGAGGCGUUGGUUCUUGGGAAGAACAGGUUCGACAGGCAGAUACCGCAUGAGCUAACAAACUGCGUGCGCCUUCAGUUCUUGGACAUCAGUAGAAAUAUGUUUGGUGGCAACGUGCAGGAGAUUUUUGGCAACUUUAUGAGCUUGAAGUAUCUUGUGCUUCACCACAACAACUACACUGGCGGCAUCGUGGCCUCCGGCGUGCUCCGACUACCACUGCUUGCUAGGCUCGACCUUAGCUUCAAUGAGUUCACCAGCGAUCUCCCACAAGAGGUGGCCAACAUGAAGAGCCUCAAAUACCUGACGCUCGCUGAUAACAACUUCUCUGGUAGGAUACCUCCGGAAUACGGCCGGCUAGCGGAGCUCCAGGCGCUGGACCUGUCUAAUAACACCCUCUCAGGAGGAAUCCCCGCGAGCAUUGGGAAUCUCACGUCACUCCUUUGGUUGAUACUAGCGGGGAACCAACUCUUUGGUGAGAUACCGCCUGAGAUCGGCUACUGCACCAGCUUGCUCUGGCUGAACCUGGCGGACAACCAGUUGACCGGCAAUAUACCGCCUGAGAUGGCAGAGAUGGGGAGGAAU